rnacentral:rRNA from 1 species
CUUGGAGUGAGGAGUAAGAUCCCUUAUAGUUUUAACAAAAAUGUUAAAUAAAAGAAAUUUAUAUUUUGCUCUUAGAAGUUUUGUAUCUCGUGUAUAGUAGUAGUAGAGGUAAAAGCUCAACUAGCCAUAUAUACGUAGUCGUAACUGAGAGGUUGAUCGACCACAAUGGGCCUGAACAAAGCCCAUGAUGAUUAUUACAGCAGUGAGGAAUAUUGGUCAAUAGCCUAACGGCUGAACCAGCAACUUGGAAGAAUGUAUAGCAAUUGCUAAUUGUUUCUCCUUUAAAUGGAACAAUAUCGAUUUGAUCGAAUAAAAUUCUGGGUAAAAUUAUGAUAAUGACAUUGUUUACUCAUGAGUCUUGACCAAGUUACGUGCCAGCAGUCGCGGUAAUACGUAGAAGACAAGUGUUAUUCAUCUUUAAUGGGUUUAAAGGGUACCUAGACGGUGUAUUAAGCCUCAAAAGGAACUGAUAUACUAGAGUUACUUAUGAGGAAGUUCUAAAGUACUAGAGGAGUAGAGAUAAAAUUCAAUAAUACCUUUUUUUUAUAAAAAACUUCGGCACAGGUAUAGGUGAAAACAUCUUCUUAUGGGAUAACUGACGUUGAGGGACGAAGGCUUUUAAUCGUGAACAGGAUUAGAGACCCUGGUAAUGGAAGCAGAAAACGCUGAGUGUCAUAGAUUAGAUAAAUAUUUACUCUAUAAAUGAAAGUGUAAGCACUCCACCUCAAGAGUAAUUUGGCAACAUUGGAACUGAAAUCAUUAGACCGUAUUUGAAACCAGUAGUGAUGUAUGUUAUUUAAUUUGAUAAUCCGCAAAAAACCUUACCACAACUUGAAUGCCUAUAUAUUUAUUUUUAUAAUAUUUUUGUGUGUAGUUUUUUGUAUAACUUAAACUACACAUUAUACAAUAAUAUCAUAAGGUAAAAUCAUAGGUACAAGUGUUGCACGGCUGUCUACAGUUAAUGUCGUCAGACUAUGGUUAGUUCCAUUAAAUUAACGUAAACCCUUGCUCUAUUUUUAAAUAG